CAGCAGUUGCGUAACCAUGAGGCAAGGCCUCAGAGCCAGCCAGGCAAUUCCCCAGCUCUCUCUGUAUACUUCCUGUGAGGCAGCUGACUGGGUGUCGUGCUUUUAUGUCUUCUCUGGGUUAAGCACCCGGAUACUUGCAGCCAAAAGUGUUCUGUGGGGCACAGGCAUAGCCAGGCUUCAGAAUAAGUGCUCCAGUGACCAACUACUGUGUGUGUGUGUGUGUGUGUGUGUUCUCUGAAAGAAGGAAGGGCACUGGGGCAGUGGGGGAAACUAUCUGUGAUUGCACAUGCUAAGACUCAGAAGGAGAAAACAAGACUGAAGGAAAGUCAAGAUUAUUAGAAACCACCAACAGCCCUACCCAGAGAACCGGAACCUCCCCAGUGGCUUUUGUGCAUGGGCUCUGUUGUGACUGCAUCUCCGUGGGAGACAGGAGCAUCAGGGCGCUCAGCCUCAUCCUGCCUGACUCACCUCAUUCAGUUGUUUUCAUGUAGCUGCCCAAAUCCACUAAAGACACCCCUGUGUUUUCCCUCAUGGGGGAGGGGAGGCUUGGGCUGUGCCGUGCUGGGGGGGGGAGGGUGGCCUGGGGGCGCCUGUCCUCCGUGGAGCAGGGAGGAGAGAGGUCUCCACCUCCGCCUGGUGCCAGAGGGGUGCACAGGGCGGUGGGGAGGCCGGGGGCUCCCUGGUCCCCCAGGCCCAGCUUCCACACGGCAGCAGGAGACAGGCCCCGGCCACCCAUGGCACACCCACGGAGGGUGGCUGCCAGACAGCGCCCGCGUUCCCGCGGCGCGGCCACAGCUGCGAGGAGACGCGGGCUGCCAUCUGCACCCGCUGCAUUAUUUAGUGGCGCUGGCUGUGUAACACGUGCUGCACCCCACGGGAUUGGGCUCGGGGCUGCGCGGCUGCCGUGCUGCCGUGUGGUGGCAGCUGACAUCUCCUGCUCCCUUCUGGAAACAGGGUGCGUUAAUUUUUAAUGGAGCACAUGUUCGAUUGGCUACACAAACAGGCUAAUCUGCAAAGCAUGUGCUUGGUAACAAGCGCCACGCUGCCGCCAGAAUACCAACACGGUCGCCAGGCGCGGAAGCAGCGCAGCUGGG